rnacentral:rRNA from 1 species
UACGUAGGGGGCUAGCGUUGUCCGGAAUCAUUGGGCGUAAAGCGCGUGUAGGCGGUCCGGUAAGUCCGCUGUGAAAGUCGGGGGCUCAACCCUCGGAUGCCGGUGGAUACUGUCGGGCUUGAGUACGGAAGAGGCGAGUGGAAUUCCUGGUGUAGCGGUGAAAUGCGCAGAUAUCAGGAGGAACACCAAUGGCGAAGGCAGCUCUCUGGGACGGUACUGACGCUGAGACGCGAAAGCGUGGGGAGCGAACAGG